rnacentral:lncRNA from 10 species
GCACCGGGCCUGUGACUGGGUCUUAACAGAAAUCCCAGCAGUGGGUCUUGCUAUUUCUUUACAAGUGAGGAUGCUUAGAUCCAAGAGGCAGACUCACUCACUCAAGAUCCUACAGCAGAGCCAGGGUCUGCACCAGGACCUUAUGACUCCAAAGCCUUUGUGUUUUCCUCUAGGCCACACUAACCCUAGGAAAGAUGAGGCCAAUUUCACCAGGUGGCCAAGGGAGGAAUGACAUUCCAGGUAGAUGGAAUGAAAGGGGCUAGUGCUUGGAGUUGAGAGGCCAGCGUAAGGGGAAAAGCCUGGCCGAAGCACUUUUUUGAGGCUUGGAGCAAGGAAGAUGUGGGUAGAUCUGAGACUUAAGAAACGAAGAAACAAUGAGAAACAGAUUCUACAGAAAGGAACCCCCUCCAGUCAUAACAAAGGAAAGUGGCAGAGUACUGGGAGGUGUCGUGGAAGAUGCUCAGCCCCCUCGCACACAACCCCCAGAGGGCUUGAGGUUGGGUACUGGGCUGGCCAAGGCACAAAAGAUUUCUUGUUGGGCUGGAAGGAGGAGAAACUAGCUCAGCGGGAAGAGCGGCCUGAUAGUCAUCAUGGAUGAGGAUGAGAAGCCAGGCUUGACCCAGGGCUGCCCAGGACAGUGCCAAUUCCACUCAGCUGCCUGGCUCUGUGUGCCCUCUCUCCUCUCUCCAGGCUCCUGGGCCUGGCCCUGCAAUGAGGGGGCUGCAAAGGGUGGGCUCCUCCUGCCCACCUGACUGGCUGGGAAAUGUGAACCUGGCACAGACUCUGCAUCCUCUUCUCUUCGUCCAGAAAGAAACCGGCCUACAAGCCUCUCCCCCAGGGCAGGCAGGCUGGGCAGCUGGGCAGAGGAAGCAGGACUCCUCUCCUACCCACCCUGUCCAGCCCCACACCCUUCCCCUCAUGCUAUUCCCAGAAACAGAGGACAGUCACUAUGCCUCAGGCAGGAUGGCCUUGUGUUCUCUUGGUGACUUCACUGUAAAGUGACUUCCCUGAAGAGUGGUGGAUAGGGGACAGCGGCAGGAACGGGCUUCACCCAAGCUCCGGCAGCUCCUUCCCUUCCCCCAGAUUUGCACAGAAGUCCUCACCCUGUGCAUAUAAACACACACCCUCCCUAGGUCCUGAUCUGUCUUCUUGGACAAGAAUGGGGGUGGCAUUUCUAUAGGGAGGUACCAGGGCCUGGCCUCAGAGGUGGGGUAUACUCUGAGCAUGGGCCCAUGGCCCCACUUCUAGAAGCCUUCUCCGGUGGGGGCUGGAGUGCAGGUAGGCUGUCCAAGCAGAG